AAUAGACAAGACACUCAAAGGAGAAACAGAGGCACAGAGAUGUGAAAUGACUUGCUGAAGGCCCAAUCCAGACCCUCCUCCCCAAGUCUGCAGAAUUGCUGUACUGAAGCGACGUCAGCCCAGCGGCUGAAGCAGCCUCUGUGGACCUUUACACACCUGCUCCCUGAAGAUAGAGGAAGAACAUGGAAGAAUCUGUGCAGAAGCAGAUGCUCCACACAGUCCAUCCUUACACUGCGCCUUCCACUCCCUGUGCAGUGUUGAACAGGAAGUCUGCGUCGUGUGGGGGUUGCACACCUGCUAAGUGAUACCAAUGUACAUGACCUAAGCAAAGUAGGAUGAAUAUACUAUUGGCCUAUUAGGAAUGCUUUGAAAGAACGAGGCCUACACGCAGCAAGGCAGCGAGUUAUUGGCUUUAAUGAAGAGCUUCACGUUUCCCAGCAGAGAUGCUGCACUUAGGACGGAAGAACCCAAUGCACAGCUACAGACUAGGGACUGAAUGGCUAGGCAGCAGUUCUGCGGAAAAGGACCUAGGGGUUACAGUGGACGAGAAGCUGGAUA